rnacentral:rRNA from 1 species
AAGUCUGGUGCCAGCAGCCGCGGUAAUUCCAGCUCCAAUAGCGUAUAUUAAAGUUGUUGCAGUUAAAAAGCUCGUAGUUGAAUUUCGGGGUUAGUAGGUUGGUCAUGCCUCUGGUAUGUACUGGUCUCACUGAUUCCUCCUUCCUUAUGAACCGUAAUGCUAUUAAUUUGGUGUUGCGGGGAAUUUGGACUGUUACUUUGAAAAAAUUAGAGUGUUUAAAGCAAGCUAACGCUUGAAUACAUUAGCAUGGAAUAAUGAAAUAGGACGUUCGAUCUUAUUUUGUUGGUUUCUAGGAUUGACGUAAUGAUUAAUAGGGAUAGUUGGGGGCAUUAGUAUUCAAUUGUCAGAGGUGAAAUUCUUGGAUUUAUUGAAGACUAACUACUGCGAAAGCAUUUGCCAAGGAUGUUUUCAUUAAUCAAGAACGAAAGUUAGGGGAUCGAAGACGAUCAGAUACCGUCGUAGUCUUAACCAUAAACUAUGCCGACUAGGGAUCGGAUGAUGUUAAUUUUUUAAUGACUCAUUCGGCGCCUUACGGGAAACCAAAGUGUUUGGGU